rnacentral:lncRNA from 1 species
AUUCCUUCUUCUAAAAAUAUAUACUCGUACAAGAAAUUGAUUACAGAAUACACUGUUAACUCUCUACAGUUUAUGUCCAACUCCUCCAGAAUUCAGUUUCACUACUCUGCUAAUAUAUUAAAAUUUACUUACGAAGUAUUACUAGAUAAUGAAUUGGCAAUCCAUUCCAGAAAUUACUCAAUCAGCAGGAGAGCAUUUAGCAGCACUUUUUCAGAAAGCCACACAAACUGAAGCAGUAGUCUCAUCAGAAAUCAGAACGAUCAUGUUUCUUCUGCCCUUGAUAAUUUACACGUACGGUACAUUCGGACUCUCGUACACUUUCCCGGUAAAAUUAACACAGCACAUCAUGCUGCAUUGCACGCACGCAUGCAGCUGAUCAUCGACAAGUCGACGGCAAUUGCGAUGAAGAGCUCACAGGCUGGGCGUCCUCUCGGCAGCUCCGGAGAUGACGGUGAGCAGGUUGUUGCCGAAGGGGUCGCUGAGGUGCGCAGAGAGGUUCUCAACGGGGCCCUCGCCAGUGACGUAUGCCUGGAUGAAGAAACCCAGCAUGGAGAACAUGGCUAGCCGGCCGUUCUUGAUCUCCUUCACCUUGAGCAGCGCCGCCUGGUCGGGGUCGCUGGCGAGGCCGAGCGGGUCGAAUGGGCCACCGGGGUGGAGCUUGUCCUCAAGAUCCUGCCGGAGAAAUUGAUGAAAACCGUUGGUCAGUACAAAGUUCCUAAUUGCAGCUCAACUUAUGUAUAUGUUUGAGGUGUUACUGUCACUGACAAGGCCGUUGAUGAUCCUGUAGUACUCGGCGCCUCCGACGAGGACAACCUCGGCGACGACGGCGAGGAUGAGGUUGAUGGGGAUGCUGUUGCCGAAGUAGUUGAGGGUGUUGCCGUCCAGGAGAAGAGCGCCGGUCUGCAUAUGUGUUUGUUCAUGGCACCGUGAGUUUAAACUUCAGAGUUCUGAAUCUGAAUCUGAAUGUGUGAAUACUGAUGAGCAAUUACCUUGAACCAGACGGCCUCGGGACCGCAGUUGGCGCCGAACUUGUUGCACGCCUCGGGGAUGAUGAAGCCGGCAGCGCCGAGCAUGGCCCAUCUGGCAUGGAUCAGCUCAUAGGCCUGGUACCUGAAGAAUAAGGUGUGGGAAAGGAUUACUUAGUUGAUAGAAUAUUUUGUUUAGAGUGAGACCGUAGGUUAACAAUUUUAGGUCUGUAUUUGCAAAAUGCAGAUCACUACUUACUUGGUGAAGUCAUCUGGCUUCUUGCUCAGACCGAAAGGAUCAUAGCCAUAGCUGAAAGUCCAAAGGGAAACAAAUAGGUCAGUUCAGUUGCAUAUAUAAUCUUAGUCUCUUAGUUUUGCAUGAGCAUUUCAGUAAUAUGAGCAGUGAGGCAAUGCUGCAAAGGGAAGACAACUUUAAUUCAAAUAGUCUGAAAGAUUCGAGAAAACAGUGGCAUUUCCACAAAGAUGAAAACUAAUUUAUGCUACACUGCUCACUACAGAACUAGCAAAAUAGGUACGAGUACCAUAUCCAUAUAAAUUUGCCGUAGUACUAAAUUACUACUACAGUUCAAAGGAUGGUUAAAUUGUGGAGGGUAAAAAUGGAAGCAUAUGACUUACUCUCCAGGAACCUCUCCGUUGAGGUACUCUGGCACCUCUGACCGGUCAAGGAGACCGUCCGGCAAGAAGAUCCUCCUGUCAGGGCCUGAAAACAAGAUUAAAAAAAUAGUACUUAGGUAUGUAUGAAUUUUCAGAACAAAUUAAUUACCUGAAAUGUGUUCAAUCUCAUAUGGAAGUUUUCUUUGUACUCACC